rnacentral:rRNA from 1 species
UACGUAGAAGACUAGUGUUAUUCAUCUUUAGUAGGUUUAAAGGGUACCUAGACGGUAUGAUUAGUCUUAAACAGGAUACGAUUAUACUAGAGUUAUAUAUGAGAAGGGGAGUAUUUAUGGAGUAGAGUUGAAAUUCUUUGAUCCCAUGACGACUGGUAACGGCGAAAAGCAACCUUUUAUCUAAUAACUGACGUUGAGGGACGAAGGCUCGGGUCACGAACAGG